rnacentral:tRNA from 1 species
GGGGAGAUGGCCGAGUGGUUGAAGGCGGCACCCUGCUAAGGUGUUAUAUCCAAAUCGGGUAUCGAGGGUUCGAAUCCCUCUCUCUCCGCCA